rnacentral:lncRNA from 1 species
AUGUGUUUUCAUGAGCUCAUAAGUGAGAAAUGUAUCAGUGAAUCUUCCAUUAUAUGUCUCCAGACCUUAUGAGCUACUUUUUUUGCUGAACCUAUGAAUGUGUUGUGUGGAGUAUAUACCAUGAUUAUAACCAUACAGACAGGACUACUGACUCUGUGGCUGUUUAUGCAGUGCAUUGUCCAGUCCCAUGGCUCUGCAGGUUUGGUAGACAUGGUUCCAGGAUGCAACCCUGGUACUGCCCAGCCGAGAGCUCUGGCUGUGCACAGGGAGAUAAGUGAGGCAAUGAGUACAAUGAUUCUGCAAAGUAUGAACAACAGAAUAUAGGGAUUUAAAGAACUCACGAUGAACUGCUGGAAUGACAAAAAGUCUGAAUUAUCACAGAGAUUUUCCCAAUGGCUUUAAGGUACAGAUGUCUUCUGAAAACUUGAAAAAUGAAUUUUCAUACCAAAAAGAAGUCCUCUGAAUUCAGAAUUAUGUUUUAUAUUCCAUAUUCCUGACAUUUCUCAAUCCUUGCCUCUAAUGCCUACAAAUCACUUCCCAAAAGGCUGCAAUAACAACCUUCAGAUGCACUGCUUGAUGAUGUCUGAAUAUGGGGCUUUCUGAGAGAAAUGAGUCAUAGAAACUCUGAAGAGGUGGUUACUGGCACUCAAACUGGUGACUGGGUAAUGGGAGAAUGACAGGAAAGAAAAAAAGGAGCAUCCUUACAGCUUGAUGGUAUCUUCCUGACACAAAUAAACCUAGAUUUGGAAGGUGGAUAAGAGAAUAUACUGUGCUUUUCUCUCUCUAUGUGUUCAUUCAUCUCCUGAGGUCUAAGGUUUUUUAAUGUAAUU